rnacentral:tRNA from 1 species
AUCGGCGCCGCUGCUGGUAGCCUGCUACCGAUCAGGGGCUAUGGCGCAGUUGGUAGCGCGACUCGUUCGCAUC